GCGCCGGCGACUGCGGCGACAGUCAUUCAUCAGGUCCCCGUGCGCCGUGUCGCCCGCCCUCCGGGCUCUGCCCGUCUCCCUCACCCUCUCGCGGGCUCCCGAGCUCUCCGAGCGCCUCCCUCCUGCCUUCCUCCUUUGCAUUCUCUUUACUCCCCUCCGCCCCCGCCCCCUUGUCCUGCUUUCCUUUAUUGAUUGACUCAACAUAGACUUCUGAGGCCCCGGCCACCAGGCAUGAAAUCGCAAAUCAAACAGGAUCCUCGUCUGAUGGAAACCGCGUUAGCCGGGGAACCUCGGUGCCUGGCCCUGAGCUCUGCGCGGCGCUGUUCAGAUGGCCCCCGCCCACAGGGAGUCCUGGUCUAGCGGCGAGUAGACAAGGGACCCGCUGUUACAGCUCCAAAUCUACAGUCCUCCCCCGCCGCGCAGAGCUGGGCAGGGCAGGGUCGGGGCUGACCUAGUGGGGACGGGGCAGGGAGGCCGCUCCGAGAAGCCAGGUUUGAGCCAGGCCUGUGGGAGAGAAUAAGCCAAGAGUGUCGAUGGGAUGUGGCUUGGGUUCCAGGGGAACAAUGCAUGGGUGGGUUCUGGGAGCAAGAGUGGGCUGGCCUGCCCACAAUCCAUCUGUCCCUGUCCUAGAACCGACUGCUUCCAUGUCCCCGAAUUCAUUUCUCUCAUGGCCCAGAAUCAUCCUCAUUCUGACCAGAAUCCACCUCUCAACCCGGUCCCAGGACCCCCCUCGGGUACUUGAGUUAAGUAUCUACCUCAACGGGAGUGGCCUAGAAUCCACCCACUUCCUGUCUCAGAAUAUGAAUAUGAAUUAAUAUUGUCUUGAAGUCCUGCAAUUGUCUUGGACACACACCUCCGUCCUUUCCCAGAACCCAUCUCCACCACAUUGCAGAAUCCGUCUCCUCCAUGUCCCAGAACAUACCUCAUCUCUGUCAUCUCUGCCUUUUCACAACUCCAAAGGCAGAAGAAAUUUUUUUUCUCUUUCACUCUGCUAAAAUAGACCCAAAAGCAUAGAUUAAAACUAUAAAAUGCACUCACAUUUGCUCAGAAUGUGGGUCCUCAACACAGGUAUAGGAGUGAGAAAGGUCAAACAGAACUUCUCUCUUUCCUGUCUGCCCAGAGUGGUUGAACCCGGGGAGGAUGGAGAAGUAAAUGUCCUGUCGCACAUUUAGAAAGUUGCUCAAAUUUAGCCUUUUCCUAGGGCCCUUAAACAUUCAGACACAGCAUCACCAUGGUAGACUUGGAAAAGAAAGCUAUUUUUCAUAUAGUGGUAAAUGUGCGUUCCAUUCCUGGACCAUACCAUCUGUACUACAUUAUGAAUUAAUAUUGUCUGUAAAUCCUAUAAUUAUCUUUGACCAGUGCAAUUAUGUUGCUCUGUAUUUGCUGAGAGUAUUUAUUUGUUCUGUGGCAAUAAGAUACACACAGUUUUGCUAACCCUGCUGGCCUUAUUAUUUUUUUUUUAAUUUGCUGGGAGUUUCAGAAAAUGAAAAUGACCCAGUCCUCUGUCAAGCUUGGUGACCUUAGUAGGUGAGCUCUUCUGGAACAGGGUGUUCAGGCCUUCCAGAGGGGACUUUUGCAUGAAAGCACCAGAUAAAUUGUCACUGUGCUAAUGGAGGAGCUGAGAUGAGGACCAAGUGCUUCUAAAUUGCCUGCCUUCAGCUUGGCUGCCAGAUGCACCCUCCCCCUCUCAGAGCUUCCUCUAGGGCAGUCACUCCCGACCCACUCAGAGGCUGCAGACCUAUCAUUACACCAUCUCAGGCACUGAUGGGGGCCACCCAACUGCCAUCUCCUGCAGAUGGAGUCACUGGGGGCUUGGAGAGAGACUGUGCCUUGCUCCAUUAAGGUCACAGCAACUCGCCAGAGUAUGUGUGGACUUGAGGAAAGGUCAACUGGUGCAUUGAAGGCUCUGGGAUAGCCAUUUUGGUGAGCGAUUUGAUAGCAUUUGUUAAAAUAACAACAAUGGUGUACAUAUUAAGAACCAGCGGUGUCACUCAUUUCUACCUGGAGAAGUUCGAGGGUAGCUGGAGGAAUGGUUGUCUUCUCAUAUGACAUAAUACAGCCAAGUUAUUAGAAUGAGGACAUGUGUACUUGUGACAACAUGGAAAAAAAAUACAGAACAAAUUACAGAUUGACAAAGCAGAAUUACACUUGUGUGAUUUGAACCGUGGAGCACGAACAUACAUACAUGUGGGUAUAGGCGUGUUCUAUUAAAAUUUAAAAUGUUACAGUUUAUAAAUGCAAAGAAAGUCCCUCUUAGGAAGCAGAUCGAAUUCUAUUUAUUUUAGUAAUUUUUUUUUGUAGUUGUAGAUGGACAACAUGCCUUUUCUUUAUUUAUUUUUAAGAGGUGCCGAGGAUCAAACCCAGUGCCUCCCCAGGGCUAGGCAAGUGCUCUGCCACUGAGCUACGGCCCCGGCCACCUCGGUUCUUAAGAGUUAUAACUUCAAGGAGGGUUAAGGAAGAAAAAAGAGGAAUGGUGGAUAGAAGAACUGCAUUUUCUAUAAGGUUUCAAUUUGAUAUUUUCAGAAACAUAUAAAUGCUCCUGGAACACAAUGCCAAAAGGAUUUGCAUUUGCAAAUGUAGAGAAGUAGUUUCACUUUUAAAAGGGAGUAUUUGUGAUAUUAAAAUGGAUCAUGUUCAAUAAAAGAAAAGCUUACAUGACAUUAAAAAUUAUUUUUCUAGAAUGGAAAUUGCUCAACACCAGAAGUUCUCAUAAUAGAAUUCAUCAUAUUAACCAAUUAAAGAAAAAUAACUACACCGUCAUCCUCAUAGAUGCAGAAAAAGCAUCUGACUAAAGUCAAAUAUACUUAGCAAACUGGGACCAGAAGGAAGCUUUUAAAAUUUGAUUAAAAGUAUGUGUCAAAAAUCUACCACAGUGCAGAUUAAUAUCCCUCAUGAGCAUAGAUUUGGAGUUCUUAACACAGAAUAGCAAAUUAAAUUUAGCUACAUUAGAAAGGAUAACACAUCUGCAGAAGGAUGAAUUCAGCUUCUCUUUGUUCUUGGCUUCUGGGUGAUACCUCUACUCUGGAAUUUUCUAAAAGAUAGCAUCUUUUUUCUUUUCAAUUCUUUUUUCCCUUUCUUUUCUUUCCUUUCCUUUCUUUCUUUCUUUUCUUUUUUUUUUUUUUUUUUGUGUGUGCAGGGGACAGAACCCAGGACCUCAUGCAGAUGAGGUAAGCACUUUGCUACCACAAAGACACACCCCCACUCAACAGAAUUUCUUUUUCUUUUCUUCCUUCGCUGUGCUGGGGAUGGGCCUCAUGCAUGCCAGGCAAGUGCUGCCCCGUGGAGCUACAUCCGGAGCCACAAGAGUGCCUUUGUUAUUUGUGGUGGGUAUCUCAGACCCCGACUGAUGGUUUCUGCCAAUGGGUGAUUCAGAAUGGCCACACCAGAAAGACCAGGAGCCAAGAAGGACCCCGAGGCUUGGGGGCAUUACCCAUUUUCCAGUCCUCUAAGCAUUGUCACACUCUGAUGCCCAGAGAGUAAUGUGACCCUGAGAACAAGGAAGCUUCACGCUUGGAACCCUCCCAGACUUUGUGCAGUGUCUCUUCUUCCGGUUCUUUCUGACUUCUGUCUUUUGUUACAAUAGGACAGUAAUUGUGGUGGAACCUUCGAGAGCUGCCCCUAGUGGGAGGUGACUGGGUCAUUGGGAGGCAUUAACAUAGGUCUCCAGGGGCCCCUGCUGGUUUCUCCAGAGAAAGGAACAAGCCUGGACCAGGAAUCCCUCUGGCUUCCCGCCUCACCGUAUGGUCUCCUGUUAGAGUGCCACCUCAUCGUGGGAUUUCCUGUUAGAGUGGCACCUUGUAAGGCAGCCCUGGGGGCCCUCACCAGAAGCCAAACACACGGGGUUGCCCAGUCUUGGACUUUCAGUCUCCAAAACUGUACUUCUGAACUCCAGGAAGUCAGGUGGGAAGACUCCCUUUCCAUACGCUCAUCCAACACGUAAUUAUCAAGUGGACGCGACGCUGAGCGAAGGCAUCCGGGAGCGUCCGUGUGAAAUCCAGGAGCAAGACAGGAUCUUGCCAAGUUUCCCAGCCUGGCCUUGAACUUGGGACCCUCCUGCCUCAGCCUCUGGAGUAGCCGGGGAUAACGGGAGUGUGCCGCUGUGCCUGGAUGGACAGGAAUCUGCAAUCCUGUGAAAGCAGCCUGGGGCAUGACUCACCGGUCCCUGUCCAGACCGCUGCUUCUGCUGUGUGCCACCCCGGCCGGCUCCUCUGCAGCUGCCAUCCGAGAGGGCCUUGCUGCCCGCACCCCGAGAAGAGCCGGGAGCUGGAGCCAGCAUCGUUCCCUGGCCAGCUGCCUCUGCGUGCUGCAGGUGGCAGGAUUUCCUGGUUUCAGGGAGAAGGAAGCAAGCGUGAGGGGACCACACAGAGGUGACUCGUCACCGUCACGUUCUUACAGGCAGAAAGGGUUCUCGCCUCCUGAUCCGCGACGCACACCUGUGCCAACCUUCCCCGCCAGCUGCUCACCCCAGGGCCUUGCUGGCCCCGAGGCUGCAGGGACCCGAAGAGCCCAGCUGUCCUCUGGGGACUUCCUGACUCCUUCCUGCCGUCACCACGGAGCCCUGCCAAGCCCCCCGACAGGCUGGGCCGUGUGCACCCAUUGGCUGGGGAAGUCGUAUAUUCAGAGCCGUGAACUUGGACGGGGGAGGGGGGACUGGGGGUGGAAUAUGAGAAACUGUGGAAUAUGAGGGUGUGUGGGGGGGUCCUCAUCCGCUGAGAAACCACAGAACGGCUGAGAACCCCGGGGAAUGAAAACGAAGCAUCCCUGAUGGGGCUGGAGAGAUUCACCCGGCACACUGAGGGUCCCCAGUGUGGAUGGGAUUUAAAGGGAUUGGGUCUCUACUCAAAUGCCACUCAUCAGAGAGAACCUUUUUUUUUUUUUUUUUUUGGUAUUAGGGAUUGUACCCAGGGUAUUUAACCAUGGAGUCACAUCCCCAGCCCUUUUCAUUUUUUAUUUAGAGACAGGGUCUCACUGAGUUGCUUAGGUGCUCUCUAAGCUGCUGAGGCUGGCCUCCAACUUUUGAUCCUCCUACCUCAGCCUCCCGGGCUGCUGGAAUUACAGGUGAGCACCACGACACUCAGCUUUACCAUUUGCUUUUGAGCUUCCCUGCAGCCCAAGCAAAAAUGGAAGUACAAGCAGUGAUUGACCACUUCCCUGGGUAGAAACAAACCAGAUGCUCAGGAAUCAAGGAAGGAAACGUGUUCUUAGGGAACCAGAGCUUCUACUCCUGCAAAAGCCCAUCUCCGGGGCAGAAGCCAGGCGUCUGCAUUGGCCAGCUGCUCAGCUGGCCCUGGGGCAGAUGUUUUGAGAACAGGACCUUUCUGGGGAACUGACGGCUUCCCCCGAUGCUGUCUCCUUUCUCUCUGGACUUCUCCUUGUACCUCAGGGUCACAUUGUCACACCUCAGCACGCCAUCUCUGGCUCUUCACGUCCUCAUAGGUCCCCUUGGCGAGCCCCCCAAAAAACAAUGAUGGAAAGAAAGAGAGAAACUUCUCCAAACCUCUCCAACCAAAAAAUGACUCUCUGGGCCUCCCAGAACACUCCUUCCAGAACAUUCUACCUGCCUGCACACUGUAAAAAUAUUUUUUUGCCUUAAGGUAUGUGUCGUUCAUGGUC